ACAGCAGGAGUCACACUGUGGCCAGAAACCGGUGGACAAAGGGCGGACAGAGGCAGCUGGAGGCAAGGCAGCAGUCCUUCCCUCUAGCACCUGGAACUUCCCUCUCUGCUGGGACAAAGAGGAGGGGAGGAGUGCCUGAUUCACCCAGGUGAACCAAGCAUUGAUCAAGAAAGUCCCACGGAGACUGGGUCUCCCGUGAUGUGGCUCACAGGCUGCCAACCAUCAGCACAGGCAGGGUUUAUGAGCAAAGCUAUCCCGAGAAAGGGAACGGACAGCGCUGUCGGACGUGUGAAAACUCACUCUCCCCUGCAGUGUGUUUAGCUCUUCUCCUGGAGGGUGGUCUCCUCCCCUUCUGCAGCCAGGGAUCGAACACUGGGGAAAGCAGCUCUCCCAAGGCCAGAGGCAGCUAGGAUUUAAGCUCUUACCUGUCUGACACCAAAGUCCAUGUCUCCCCCUUUUUCUCAGUGCCUCCAGCCUGCUGCCUGGGGAGCCCCGGACAGCACAUCAACUGCUUUCCCAUCAGACAGAGCCACACGCCCUGGCAAGCGCCCCAGCAGCCAUGCUGGUUUCUGGUACUCAGCCCCUCCCCCGUGGACAGAGCUGGGAAAUGGGGCUGCAGGAAGCCAGCACUCAAGGCCUCUUCCUUCCCUUCCAGUGCAGCACUGAGCACCAAUUAGGAGGCUGUGUCUUGGGCCAGGCCUCAUGCAUAGAAAAGAAACACCAGGAUGAUCUGUCAUCUGAAGAGCGGAAAACAUGGUGGAGAAAUCUUGAUGCGUUGAUCACAGAAGAUGAGUGAUUUUCUGUAUGAAGCCAUAAUUCUCUGAGCCAGCCUUACAGAAACGCACCAAUUUCCAGGAAGGUUUUAACAACUCAGAAAGGUUUACCUGUGCCUGAAGACACAGGACCUCUUUUAGGAAAUGGGCUGUCAGACAGAGCCCGGAGGCUUAGUCCCUGUCUCCAUAACAACCCCCAGCCAGCCUGGACAAGGUCACCCCAUGGGUGAGCUCAGCUUUGCUCCACUGGGGUAACCCAUCUCUCCUCACGCUCCUGGAGAAAUUAGAUUUUACACUUUCCUGAUGCUGCGUCAAACUGGCGUCACAGCAUCCUGGAACGCUCUCAUGGCUAGAAAAUCUGAGCGAACCCUGGGGGAAGAGAAACCGUCAGCUAACUUUCCCAUUGUUGUCUAUACCAUCAUUAGUUUUGUCCCUACACACUGUGGCCUUGUUCACCUGCACCCCAGGCAUGCACGCUCCCCAUGAGGCAGGAUGGCUGCUCCUAACGCUAGGCAGUCUGUUGCGG
rnacentral:lncRNA from 1 species